rnacentral:rRNA from 1 species
UGGGGGAUAUUGCGCAAUGGGGGGAACCCUGACGCAGCAACGCCGCGUGAAGGAAGACGGUUUUCGGAUUGUAAACUUCUUUGACGAGGGACGAUAAUGACGGUACCUCGAAAACAAGCCACGGCUAACUACGUGCCAGCAGCCGCGGUAAUACGUAGGUGGCGAGCGUUGUCCGGAAUUACUGGGUGUAAAGGGCGAGUAGGCGGACUUGCAAGUCAGAAGUGAAAUCUAGGGGCUUAACCCCUAAACUGCUUUUGAAACUGUAAGCCUUGAGUGUCGGAGAGGAAAGCGGAAUUCCUAGUGUAGCGGUGAAAUGCGUAGAUAUUAGGAGGAACACCAGUGGCGAAGGCGGCUUUCUGGACGGUAACUGACGCUGAGGCGCGAAAGCGUGGGGAGCAAACAGGAUUAGAUACCCUGGUAGU